CAGCCGCCGCGGUAAUACGUAGGUGGCAAGCGUUGUCCGGAAUUAUUGGGCGUAAAGGGCUCGCAGACGGUUUCUUAAGUCUGAUGUGAAAGCCCCCGGCUCAACCGGGGAGGGUCAUUGGGAACUGGGAAACUUGAGUGCAGAAGAGGAGAGUGGAAUUCCACGUGUAGCGGUGAAAUGCGUAGAGAUGUGGAGGAACACCAGUGGCGAAGGCGACUCUCUGGUCUGUAACUGACGCUGAGGAGCGAAAGCGUGGGGAGCGAACAGGAUUAGAUACCCGGGUAGUCCCUGUCUCUUAUAC
rnacentral:rRNA from 1 species